AGGUGUGUGAGUCAACAUAUUGGCAUGUAAAACAUGCAUCAGCUCUCUUUCUGUGAGAUACUUUCUGCAUAAGGAAUAACUCAAGCGAGAAACUCCCAGAGCGAGCAGGCCUUCCUUCAGUGGACUUUAGAUCGGUCAAGGUUUCAUUCACCUUUCUCGUCUGCUGCCUGUUUGGAGAGCGCUGACCUUUACUAAGGGCUAAACGACUUAAUCCUGCCACCAAUUAAAGGAGCAAGGAUCAUGGACUACAUCUAUGUCAGUCAGGAUUUAUCUCGUCUAAAGAUCAUCUGUAUUCCAUCUGUCCUUCUAAAAGAUCUCAAACACUGAACUGAUGAUUUGAGAACAGACAGAAAGUGAGUGCAAGGAGAAGAGUGUGCAAGGUUGGGAAAAGACAUUGAGACACCGCACUGGCCAUGACGGUGUAUGUCUCAGACAAAAGGGAAUCAUGCUGAUUCUAGAAAGGUGUCCCGCUUUGUUCCUGAUGGGUGGAUCAUUAGCUUAACGUCAUGCUAAACUCUAUUGGCAUCAACUGUGAGUACAGUCACCUUUUCGGAGAGUUAUUUGUGUCAUUUUUAAAUUCUGUAUUUGCUGAUUAAAUCCACAUCAACAGAGCCACAACACCAAAACACACUUCCAGCCUUAUUAACCAAGAGUUAUAGUCCUUUUUGCAAGCCAACUAGUA